CCUACGGGAGGCAGCAGUAGGGAAUCUUCCACAAUGGGCGAAAGCCUGAUGGAGCAACGCCGCGUGGGUGAAGAAGGUCUUCGGAUCGUAAAACCCUGUUGUUAGAGAAGAAAGUGCGUGAGAGUAACUGUUCACGUUUCGACGGUAUCUAACCAGAAAGCCACGGCUAACUACGUGCCAGCAGCCGCGGUAAUACGUAGGUGGCAAGCGUUAUCCGGAUUUAUUGGGCGUAAGGGAACGCAGGCGGUCUGUUAAGUCUGAUGUGAAAGCCUUCGGCUUAACCGGAGUAGUGCAUUGGAAACUGGGAGACGUGAGUGCAGAAGAGGAGAGUGGAACUCCAUGUGUAGCGGUGAAAUGCGUAGAUAUAUGGAAGAACACCAGUGGCGAAAGCGGCUCUCUGGUCUGUAACUGACGCUGAGGUUCGAAAGCGUGGGUAGCAAACAGGAUUAGAUACCCCUGUAGUC
rnacentral:rRNA from 1 species